rnacentral:rRNA from 1 species
CCUACGGGAGGCAGCAGUGGGGAAUAUUGCACAAUGGGGGGAAACCCUGAUGCCAGCGACGCCGCGUGGAGGAAGAAGGUCUUCGGAUUGUAAACUCCUGUUGUUGAGGAAGAUAAUGACGGUACUCAACAAGGAAGUGACGGCUAACUACGUGCCAGCA